GAUGAACGCUGACAGAAUGCUUAACACAUGCAAGUCGACUCGAGUCUUCGGACUUGGGUGGCGGACGGGUGAGUAACGCGUAAAGAACUUGCCUCAUAGUCUGGGACAACAUCUGGAAACGGAUGCUAAUACCGGAUAUUAUGCUUUCUUCGCAUGGAGGAAGUAUGAAAGCUAUAUGCGCUAUGAGAGAGCUUUGCGUCCCAUUAGCUAGUUGGUGAGGUAACGGCCCACCAAGGCGAUGAUGGGUAGCCGGCCUGAGAGGGUGAACGGCCACAAGGGGACUGAGACACGGCCCUUACUCCUACGGGAGGCAGCAGUGGGGAAUAUUGGACAAUGGACCAAAAGUCUGAUCCAGCAAUUCUGUGUGCACGAUGACGUUUUUCGGAAUGUAAAGUGCUUUCAGUCGGGAAGAAGCAAGUGACGGUACCGACAGAAGAAGCGACGGCUAAAUACGUGCCAGCAGCCGCGGUAAUACGUAUGUCGCAAGCGUUAUCCGGAUUUAUUGGGCGUAAAGCGCGUCUAGGCGGCAAGGAAAGUCUGAUGUGAAAAUGCGGGGCUCAACUCCGUAUUGCGUUGGAAACUGCCUUGCUAGAGUACUGGAGAGGUAGGCGGAACUACAAGUGUAGAGGUGAAAUUCGUAGAUAUUUGUAGGAAUGCCGAUGGGGAAGCCAGCCUACUGGACAGAUACUGACGCUAAAGCGCGAAAGCGUGGGUAGCAAACAGG
rnacentral:rRNA from 1 species